rnacentral:rRNA from 1 species
UACGUAGGGGCCUAGCGUUGUCCGGAUUUAUUGGGCGUAAAGAGCUCGUAGGCGGUUUGUCACGUCGGCUGUGAAAACCUGCGGCUCAACCGUGUGGUCUGCAGUCGAUACGGGCAGGCUGGAGUUCGGUAGGGGAGACUGGAAUUCCUGGUGUAGCGGUGAAAUGCGCAGAUAUCAAGAGGAACACCUGCGGCGAAGGCGGGUUGCUGGGCCGACACUGACGCUGGAGGCGCGAAAGCUAGGGGAGCGAACGGG